rnacentral:lncRNA from 1 species
UCUAAACUGAUGGCAAAAAAAGAGAACUUCAUGGAUCACCUCGAGGGGUGAUUGUCCUCAAUUGAAGUUCAGGAGUAACUCCUCCUGCUGUUCAGCACCUGAACUUUCCUGUCUUGGGUGAACCGAGUAGCAUCCACAGAAAUGAAUAUGGGUGCCGCAUCCUCAGCGGAUAUCAAGUUUCUUCUUUUAAAAUACAUAGACUUGAGCAAAGAGCCAACGCUUAAUAAUAGCGUUUUGCCUGCAGGGGAAGGCAGGGUUUGUAUACGGGCAAGUACAGCAAUUGACCUAAUAAUAUGCGAAAAACGCUCCAAAAACACUGCUUUCUGCUGCUUGCGCAGAGCAAGGUAACGCCGUAGAGAGCUCCCUGAUGCUCGCACCGAGUUGCUGGUGAGCUGGGGACUACAGGACCAGGAUCUGCCGCGUCUGCAGCUGCUGGGAUUUUUAUAUUCAGCGGUUCCCACCAGCAGCCCUGGAGCGCGCUGGAGAUGCUUUGCCAGAAAUUAAGGCCAGGAGGGACCAUCAGCUCGGAGCUGGAUCCAGCAGAGAGCCUGCAGACUAGGUCCUCCAGAGACGGCGGGGUGCCGGGCGUGCUGGACCAGCACGGUUCCACCACCAAAAUCCUUCAGAAGAUGCCUUCGAUGCCAAAAGCCCCUUCAAGGUCUGCAAGUGGGUUUCUCUUUCACUCCAGCUUUGCAGAAGGCCAAGGUCUGCGCCCGGCUGCGGUACGAGGCGCCGCUCGAGGUGUCAGGGCGCUGACGGGUGAGGGGGGAGCCCAGCCGUUUGCUGCAUCGAGCGUGAUGCCCAGAGGCCUGGUGUGCACAUACUGCUCGGACCUGACUUCUUGUUCAGACAAGGAUUUGGAUCGGAAGGACUUCCUUUAUGCCGUUAUUGCAGUAUUUAGCAACCCGUAA